GAUUAACGCUGGCGGCGUGCAUAACACAUGCAAGUCGAACGAAGUGGCGGACGGGUGAGUAACGCGUGAGUAACCUGCCUUAGAGAUGGGGAUAGCCUCUGGAAACGGAGAAUAAUACCCAAUCCUCUAAGAUGGACUUGCGUCUGAUUAGCUAGUUGGUGAGAUACUAGCUCACCAAGGCAACGAUCAGUAGCCGGCUGGAGAGAGGGUACGGCCACAUUGGGACUGAGACACGGGCGAGACUCUACGGGAGGCAGCAGUGGGGAAGUGUGCACAAGGGGGGAAAACCGGAUGCAGCGACGCCGCGUGAUUUAGAAGGCCUUCGGGUUGGAAAAAUCGUUUGUAUAGGAAGCAGUACUAGACGAAUAAGGACCGGCUAACUACGUGCCAGCAGCCGCGGUAAUAC
rnacentral:rRNA from 1 species